UACGUAGGGUGCAAGCGUUAUCCGGAAUGAUUGGGCGUAAAGCGUCUGUAGGUUGCUUUUCAAGUCCGCCGUCAAAUCCCAGGGCUCAACCCUGGACAGGCGGUGGAGACUACCAAGCUGGAGUACGGUAGGGGCAGAUGGAAUUUCCGGUGGAGCGGUGAAAUGCGUAGAGAUCGGGAGGAACAUCAGUGGCGAAGGCGGCCAUCUGGGACAACACUGACGCUGAAGCACGAAAGCGUGGGGAGCAAACAGG
rnacentral:rRNA from 1 species